ensembl:lncRNA
CUGGAAUGCUCAACCUGCGUCACAGGCUGAUAGCGUUUUUAAGAAAAAAAUAAAAAAAGCACGCCCUCCAUCUGCUUCUCAUCAUCGUCAUCCAUCUCGUCUUCCUCCCCCCGCUCCUGUCAUCCAGACUCUCUGUUUCAUGCUCUGCCUCACCAGUUCAUCCAACCCUCUACCACUACCACAACCUCUGGAGCUGUGGCAUGGAUAAAUAGGCCACAACAGCUGGGCCUGAGUCCUGACCAGGACCACCCCUCCAGACUUGACCAACAACACACCCUUUUCUUUCCCACAAUGACCACCAGCACCUCUGGUCAAAGGGAGGCGUUUGAUCAUAUUCCAGCUGCCACAGGGCGAGAGGCAGGGCCCACCCUGGACAGGUUGCCAGCCCAUUGCAGGGUUUCAAUAUUCCCAUAACAACAAUCUGAUGAAUUGACAAAAUAUUCAUCAGAUUAAUGUUCCUCCACUGCUGAAGGAUUCUCCACUCUCACGCUAUCUGACGAGGCCUGUCCCCGGACCUGUCUGGCAUCAGGAGCCCCUGGCACGAUGCUCCCUAUUGAGUCUUGACAAAAAGUAGGUCACUUGCAAAGCUCCUGCUGGACACGCGCAGUGGAAAGAAAAUAAACGGGGCAGAUGAAUGGAGCUCGACUGGAGGUGGACGGGCUUCCUGCGAGGGCCUCAGAGGGAUGCUGAGACAGAGGUUAAGAUAAUGCAAAGCCAGUAAUGUAAUGCUGUUUCUGUUAUUCGCUAUAGCUGUGGAGAUUAUCGUCCGUCUGAUAUCUAAGUCUUCCUUUCAUUGUUCCAUAUUUUGUGUGUGAUGUAGCUGUCCAAACUUCCUCCUGUUGAGUUCAAUAACAUUUAUCUGAUCUUAUAAAUCAUGCAGGAAUUUCAAAUCCCAUGUCUCUUUUAUAAGGCAUCCUCCCUUCUCUCUACAGCCGCUCCAGUGGUUAAUGUCUGAUAACAAUUAAGCUAUGGGGACCUUUACAAACAAACAAAGAUACAACACAUAUGACCCAUUGUUCACAGCACUGCGAAGCCUACAACAAGUUUGCUGCGCACAUGUUGUUGUCA